GGGGAUUUAGCUCAGUGGUAGAGCACUUGCCUAGCAUGUGCAAGGCCCUGGGUCCAAUCCCCA
rnacentral:tRNA from 1 species